rnacentral:rRNA from 1 species
UGGGAAAUAUUGCACAAUGGGCGCAAGCCUGAUGCAGCGACGCCGCGUGGGGGAUGACGGCCUUCGGGUUGUAAACUCCUUUCGCUAGGGACGAAGCUUUUUGUGACGGUACCUAGAUAAGAAGCACCGGCUAACUACGUGCCAGCAGCCGCGGUAAUACGUAGGGUGCGAGCGUUGUCCGGAAUUACUGGGCGUAAAGGGCUCGUAGGUGGUUUGUCGCGUCGUCUGUGAAAUUCCGGGGCUUAACUCCGGGCGUGCAGGCGAUACGGGCAUAACUUGAGUACUGUAGGGGUAACUGGAAUUCCUGGUGUAGCGGUGAAAUGCGCAGAUAUCAGGAGGAACACCGAUGGCGAAGGCAGGUUACUGGGCAGUUACUGACGCUGAGGAGCGAAAGCAUGGGUAGCGAACAGG